GUAUAUGUGCCAGCUCCAAUGUGGCCACAAGCAACAUCGCGCCAUCUGUGAGAUGGCAAUCGCUGUUAAAUUUCAUCCACUCCUGCUAACGCUGCCCUCAGCUCUGGCGAUGAGCAGCUAUUGUAUGCGGGCAUCAAGACAAAGUACCUGGCCUUUGCUGGUAUAUUGCCAACAUUUUGGGCUUUUAUCCUGCUGUGGCUGUAUCCGGGCUGCAGAGAAUUUCCUCACUGGGC
rnacentral:sRNA from 1 species